UGCAUCGUCGGGAAUCGAACCCGGCCGCCCGCGUGGCAGGCGAGCAUUCUACCACUGAACUACCCAUGC
rnacentral:tRNA from 1 species